UGGGGAAUAUUGCGCAAUGGGCGAAAGCCUGACGCAGCGACGCCGCGUGGAGGAUGAAGGUCUUAGGAUUGUAAACUCCUGUCAGAUGGGAAGAAAAGAUCCAUUUCUAAUAAAUAUGGAUUAUGACGGUACCAUCAGAGGAAGCACCGGCUAACUUCGUGCCAGCAGCCGCGGUAAUACGAAGGGUGCAAGCGUUAUUCGGAAUCACUGGGCGUAAAGAGUGCGUAGACGGUUUGUUAAGUUUGUUGUUAAAGACUCUAGCCUAACUGGAGGGUUGCAAUGAAAACUGGCGAGCUGGAGGGUGAGAGAGAGAAGUGGAAUUCCCGGAGUAGCGGUAAAAUGCGUGGAUCUCGGGAGGAACACCAAUGGCGAAGGCAGCUUCUUGGCUCAUUCCUGACGUUGAGGCACGAAAGCGUGGGGAGCAAACAGGAUUAGAUACCCCUGUAGUCC
rnacentral:rRNA from 1 species